AGUGAACGCUGGCGGUAGGCCUAACACAUGCAAGUCGAACGGCAGCACAGUAAGAGCUUGCUCUUACGGGUGGCGAGUGGCGGACGGGUGAGGAAUACAUCGGAAUCUACUUUUUCGUGGGGGAUAACGUAGGGAAACUUACGCUAAUACCGCAUACGACCUACGGGUGAAAGCAGGGGAUCUUCGGACCUUGCGCGAUUGAAUGAGCCGAUGUCGGAUUAGCUAGUUGGCGGGGUAAAGGCCCACCAAGGCGACGAUCCGUAGCUGGUCUGAGAGGAUGAUCAGCCACACUGGAACUGAGACACGGUCCAGACUCCUACAGGGAGAAGCAGUGGGGAAUAUUGGACGAGGGGGGCGAGCCGGAUCCAGCCAUACCGCGUGGGUGAAGAAGGCCUUCGGGUUGGAAAGCCCUGUUGUUGGGAAAGAAAAGCAGCAGGUUAAUACCCCGUUGUUCUGACAGUACCCAAAGAAUAAGCUCCGGCUAACUUCGUG
rnacentral:rRNA from 1 species